rnacentral:rRNA from 1 species
GAUGAACGCUGGCGGCGUGCCUAAUACAUGCAAGUCGAGCGAACAGAUAAGGAGCUUGCUCCUUUGACGUUAGCGGCGGACGGGUGAGUAACACGUGGGUAACCUACCUAUAAGACUGGAAUAACUCCGGGAAACCGGGGCUAAUGCCGGAUAACAUUUAGAACCGCAUGGUUCUAAAGUGAAAGAUGGUUUUGCUAUCACUUAUAGAUGGACCCGCGCCGUAUUAGCUAGUUGGUAAGGUAAUGGCUUACCAAGGCAACGAUACGUAGCCGACCUGAGAGGGUGAUCGGCCACACUGGAAAUGAGACACGGUCCAGACUCCUACGGGAGGCAGCAGUAGGGAAUCUUCCGCAAUGGGCGAAAGCCUGACGGAGCAACGCCGCGUGAGUGAUGAAGGGUUUCGGCUCGUAAAACUCUGUUAUUAGGGAAGAACAAACGUGUAAGUAACUGUGCACGUCUUGACGGUACCUAAUCAGAAAGCCACGGCUAACUACGUGCCAGCCGCCGCAGUAA